GAAAAAUGGAAAUGAGAGUGUAUAUUUAUAAAGUAAUUUAAACUUAAAAAAAAAAAAAAAAAAUUCCCGCGGCCCGCUGCAGUGGAGGGCCGCGGCUCCCACGGCUCAGCCGCGUGAAGGCCGCGGCCGCGGCUCACCCUCGGCUCCCGGCCCUGCGCCCCGGCUCUCGGCUCUCUGCAAUGGGGGGCCGCGCACCGAGCCGCGGGCCGCGGCUCCCCCAUUGUGGACACUCUAAGAUGCUCCUUGGGCAGCCACCCUACAAGGAAAAAUUUACACAAGAUUAGCAUGAGAUUAAAGUACAAAGAAAAGUCAUGAGAAAGAGAUGUGAUACAAGAAUGCAAGGUCUCGAAGUAAACAACACAUAGGCUGCCAUAAGGAUGAUUUGGGGUUGCCAAAGAUCUCACCAAAUGGAAAUAGAACCAUUUUGAACAAAGUCUCAUGACCUCAGCAACAAGCACAAAUAAGGAAACUGUUCUGUCCCUCCACAAGAGCCGAGGAAGUAGGGAAAUUGCCAAGGGAACAGUCCCCAAAACUUACACCAUUUUGGAGUAAACCACAAUAUCACAAAGCUCUAAAGCAAGCUGAGAUUUUAACCCGAAAUAGCAUAUCACUUUCCAAGGAUUUCAGGCAAGAUGCCAAGGCUUGAGAUGUAUAUAAACAGCCCUCAUCUCCCUUCUCCUCCCAACGAUUCGGCACCAUAAAUUUACUCAAAUUCAAGGAGUGCAGCAAGGAGUGGAGGAGGAGCAAGGGGAAGUCUUGAGGCAAGGAUCAGCCCCGUACCGAGAGGGAUCACGAGCGAGAUCCAGUAUAACGAAGAGAGGUCGACCUUUAAAAAGCCAACCAACCCAGGCUGCAACAGCGAAGCAGCCUAGAUUGGACAUUGACGAAGUAGUCGAUGAUGUUAUUCCAAUUGUGAUUGCGCACAAAUUCCGGGAGAGAUUGACUGAGCAAAGGGCCGAGACGAGUACCGCUCAUGAAGAAGAAGAGCAGAGGAAACCGAGGGGGAAGAAAGUCGACCAUCUCUAUUGUCGACGGACCCCAUCCAAGUUCCUUAAUUGUAUGAAAAACCUAACUCCACGACAGAAGGAAGCCGUUCGAGAACUGGGUUUCGGAGCUAUCCUGCAUUUCAAUAUAAAGGAAAUUCCAGGAUAUCUAGCCUAAUGGGUUCUAAACACAUUUAAUCUAGCCGACUUGUGACUUGGUAUGUUUUGAACAAUAUGUAGGGUGCUUCUUGCAAACAGAAUCAUAUUUUUGUAUUAGUGUAUGA